rnacentral:rRNA from 1 species
GUGUCAGCAGCCGCGGUAAUACGAAGGGGGCUAGCGUUGUUCGGAAUUACUGGGCGUAAAGCGCGCGCAGGCGGCUAUCCAAGUCAGUGGUGAAAGCCCGGAGCUCAACUCCGGAAUUGCCAUUGAAACUGUUUAGCUUGAGUACGAGAGAGGUGAGUGGAAUUCCCAGUGUAGAGGUGAAAUUCGUAGAUAUUGGGAAGAACACCGGUGGCGAAGGCGGCUCACUGGCUCGUUACUGACGCUCAGGCGCGACAGCGUGGGGAUCAAACAGGAUUAGAUACCCUGGUAGUCCACGCCGUAAACGAUGAACGCUAGCCGUUGGCCAGCUUGCUGGUCAGUGGCGCAGCUAACGCAUUAAGCGUUCCGCCUGGGGAGUACGGCCGCAAGGUUGAA